rnacentral:rRNA from 1 species
ACGCUCGACACCUACGGAAGGCAGCAGUGGGGAAUAUUGCACAAUGGAGGAAACUCUGAUGCAGCGAUGCCGCGUGAGGGAAGAAGGUUUUCGGAUUGUAAACCUCUGUCUUUGGGGACGAUAAUGACGGUUACCCAAGGAGGAAGCUCCGGCUAACUACGUGCCAGCAGCCGCGGUAAUCUGAGCGGGCUGGCAAGGC